rnacentral:misc_RNA from 1 species
AAAAAAAAAACCCAUUAAACAUCAUUCUGGCAUACGAAUCUCCCUAAUAGUGGAUAGCAGCACCUCAUCCCCAGCAAUCAAUCGCAACUGCUUUAUGAACAUAUCUCUGGCCAACUUACCGCCUCUGUAAGUAUCAUAUAAUGUCACCACUUCCCGAAUUUUGGUGGGAGGGAGCAAAUUCCUCAUCUUCGAAAACAAUUUCUCAAGGGAAUAUUUCAUACAAGUCGGUCCUUUCACUUGGCCUUGCACUUGAUGAGCAGAUUUGUAGCUCACAACACACUCGGGGAUAAUGUGUCUGUUCAUAUUGCUUGACCAAACAAUAUACCACUUGGGAUUGUUAAGAUCAUCUGCACCAGUAUCAAAUUGAAAGUUUGAAGGAUAAUAUUGUUGUGACCCCAUCUCGACUUUCUCAACAUUACCCAAGAUAACUCUACACAGUAUAAGAUGUUUUUCGCCGUUACCAUCCAUCUCCGAUAACUUUGCACUCAUAUAGGGCAAUCCCAAAGGAGACAGAUAAACACCAACCCCAUAACAUUCAGUACCGGAAAUCUUGCUAGGUACCCCAAACCCAUGCGCUAAAAUACUCUCCACACCCUUCGCCGAUGCGCCAUGCCAAGCAUACACCAAAUUAGACAGACCACGCGCGGCCUUCGUAAUCUCAAUCUGCUUUUGGAAAACCUCAUAACGCGCCUUCUCCAAAUGACCAUCGCGCGUGCAUUGAUAAAUGGCGGUAAUUGUAGCACCGGCAUCAACUUUCCUUAUCCCAGACAAAAAAUAAUCCCUAACCAUUGAAUAAGCUUUUUCACCUUCUGUCAAUAACCUAGCAUUGGGCCAUCUAGAUGUUUCCACAUCGGGAAAACAUAAACGCGGCCGUUUCGAAGCAUCCUCCUCUUGCUUAAUCGACGAAUUAACCUCGGGCUCUUCUUUAUCCAAUCCAUCCCUCUUUCGCUUAAUUGGACUAUUAUCAAUCCGAAUCUCAAUUUCAAUUUUAGGAUUCUCCGAUUUCUUCGGCCUACCAUCAAAAUCCUCACCGACAAACAUUUUAGGGAAAAAACACUUCCCUUUCUCAUCAAUCCACGCAAUCGAUCGCUGACAGCCGGAGUCGAAAUCAGUUUGCAACAUGCGCAUGAAAUCAAAAACAUACCUGGAGCCACUGAUUAACAAGUCAACCAUGGGCUUGCCCUCUACAAAAGCAGAUUUCAGAGAACCGAGCACUUCGUCGGGGAAAUUCAGCCAGGAACCAUCGUGACUGAAGUACAUAAAGCGAACCGGAGUGGCGCUGCGCUUGAAAUUGCCGUGAUUCUGCAACAUGAUCUUGGAAGAACAUAAAUCCGUCGAGUGAAUCCCGCAGCAGUUCUGAGUCCUGGGCGGCGAAGAAGAAGACGAAGAUGCUGAAGUUGAUUUGGAUUCCACCAUGUUCCUUCCUUCAAGAACCAUAACUUUACACCACUUGCAGGUAAAUGCAAUUGUAUGGUCUACGAAAUUGACA